CAAAAGAUUUCCCUUAUUCCCUCAUGAUUAUGAAACAUGAUGUUGACUUAAUGAAACAUAUCGAGUUACCGGCGUCAUAUCUGUGCUUUGAAUCAUGGAGCAAGAUAGCAAAAUAUCAGAUCUGUUUGAUGGAAGCAUUACUAGCUCGGAGAAAGUCUUUGAAGGUCAGAAUUCCUAAAAGAAAGAGUCGACUCCCUUGUCUCCAAAAAAAGUAUAUGUUCGGAGGCAAAAAAAGGGGAUUUAGAGUACAGCAGACAAUUAAAGCAUUUGAAGCAGACUCUGUUAAACGACACAGGGCAGACAGACUUUACAAGAGUGAAGUUGAAAUUAUUCUAGACAAUAUAGAGUAUCUUGAUUGUGUCUCUGUGAUGAAUGGAUAAAUUACCAUAAAAAUUUGAAACCUGAUCCAAUACCCGAACUUUUACAUGGUUAUUACAUGUGGAAGAAAAUUGAUGGUAUUGAAUGGAUAAAAACCAAGAGAUUUUCAAUCUUGAGAUCUUUAAAAUGUAAGUGCAUUUCAAGCGCUUUUUGUGCUCUCAUAACUAUUUUUGCAAAAUGUUCUUUGCGAUGUAGACAGGACGGAUCUAUAAGCAGGGAGGCAAUGUUACGAAUCAUUGAACACAGCCUUGACAGCAGAAACUAUAUUCUUUUUGCCGAGUUGUUUCGUACGUUUGUGAUCUCCAGGAAUUCCAUUCUUCAACUGUUUCUUCAAAUCAAGAAUGAAAAUCAAUGUUUUGUCCCUGAAGUGAUAUUGUUGAUCAUUAGAAGAAGGCUUCUGAGAAAUAUCAUUGGUUUUGGAAGGUAGCAAUAAGUCUAUCACUUUGCUUCGACAUUACAAAAAAAAUUAUUUUCAUUCUGUUAUAUAAAGGAUCCAUAAAAAAGCAUCAUGAUAGUCCACAAGAAAUAUAUAGAGUAAAGCUUAUCUUUCAGGAGUGCACACAAUGGUCUGAGGAGGCACUUCUGAUAAAUAAAUCCUGUGCAACAUCUAACUCAAACCAAAAAUUACCGAUAAUUACAGAGCAGACUGCAAGGAAACUAUUCAGUUGCCACUCUAAUCUUACCAUGAUAACAGCAACACAAUGUAAAUCUAUUGGAUAUUCAGCCGGAAAUCACAAAAUUGUUCGCAAGAAAUGUAUCACCUUAUUUUGUAAACACAAAGGGUAUACCUUAUGGUGAGAUGGAGUUUCCAAGAAGAAUAGGACAUUACGACGUUGAUGUUUUCGAAGGACAUUGCUCACAAGGUUCACUAGAAAUUGGAGGUCAUAUUCGCCGUAAAGGGGGUAGCAGUGGCAGUAUAGGUGGAUUUGUGGACCUUCCUGGUAAUAAGAUAGGCUUAAUAACUUGUGCCCAUGUAGUAUUUUCAGCAGAAGACUUAAUAUCUAAAAAUUUUGAAAAAGUUGAAAUAGAAAGUUUUGAGAAGAACAAGCACAGAUUUCAAGUAUGUGGUAAAAUUCUUGAUGCAAAGUUCCCAGCUUGUAUCUAUUCCUCAAAAUAUUUACCAACCUCCUCAUCAGGACGGGAAGUUACGUGUAGUAUUGACGCAGCUGUCGUUGAACUUUAUCAAAAUGUAGAAGAAGUUAGCUUUCGCACAGUUCCGACAGAC